AACGAACGCUGGCGGCAUGCCUAACACAUGCAAGUCGAACGAAGGCCUCGGCCUUAGUGGCGCACGGGUGCGUAACGCGUGGGAAUCUGCCCUUUGCUUCGGAAUAACAGUUAGAAAUGACUGCUAAUACCGGAUGAUGUCGCAAGACCAAAGAUUUAUCGGCAAAGGAUGAGCCCGCGUAGGAUUAGCUAGUUGGUGGGGUAAAGGCCUACCAAGGCGACGAUCCUUAGCUGGUCUGAGAGGAUGAUCAGCCACACUGGGACUGAGACACGGCCCAGACUCCUACGGGAGGCAGCAGUGGGGAAUAUUGGACAAUGGGCGAAAGCCUGAUCCAGCAAUGCCGCGUGAGUGAUGAAGGCCUUAGGGUUGUAAAGCUCUUUUACCCGGGAUGAUAAUGACAGUACCGGGAGAAUAAGCUCCGGCUAACUCCGUG
rnacentral:rRNA from 1 species